GACGAACGCUGGCGGCGUGCUUAACACAUGCAAGUCGAACGAAGUGGCGAACUGGUGUGUAACGCGUAAUCAACCUGCCCUCCAGAGGGGGACCACAGUUGGAAACGACUUCUAAUACCGCAUCCUGUAGGAGGGGAUUGAGUCAGAUUAGCUAGUUGGAGGGGUAACGGCCCAACAAGGCGAUGAUCAGUAGGCGGUGUGAGUGGAGGACCGGCCAAGUGGGGAAUGAGAAAAGGCCCAGACGCCUGAGGGAGGUAGCCGUUGGGAAGCGUCCGCAAUGGACGCAAGUCUGGCGGAGCAACGCCGCGGGAGUGAUGAGGGCCUUCGGGUUGUAAAGAUCUGUUAAUCGGGGCGCGGUACCGAAAUAGAAAGCCACGGCUAACUACGUGCCAGCAGCCGCGGUAAUAC
rnacentral:rRNA from 1 species